rnacentral:piRNA from 1 species
UGUUGUGGGAAUCUGUCAGUGUCCAAACA